UGGGAGGGCAAGUCUGGUGCCAGCAGCCGCGGUAAUUCCAGCUCCAAUAGCGUAUAUUAAAGUUGUUGCAGUUAAAAAGCUCGUAGUUGAAUUUCGGGGUCAGUAGGUUGGUCGUGCCACCGGUACGUACUGGUCUCACUGAUUCCUCCUUCCUGAUGAGCUGUAAUGCCAUUAAUUUGGUGUUGCAGGGAAUCUGGACUGUUACUUUGAAAAAAUUAGAGUGUUUAAAGCAGGCUAACGCUUGAAUACAUUAGCAUGGAAUAAUGAAAUAGGACGUUCGAUCCUAUUUUGUUGGUUUCUAGGAUUGACGUAAUGAUUAAUAGGGAUAGUUGGGGGCAUUAGUAUUCAAUUGUCAGAGGUGAAAUUCUUGGAUUUAUUGAAGACUAACUACUGCGAAAGCAUUUGCCAAGGAUGUUUUCAUUAAUCAAGAACGAAAGUUAGGGGAUCGAAGACGAUCAGAUACCGUCGUAGUCUUAACCAUAAACUAUGCCGACUAGGGAUCGGAUGAUGUUAAUUUUUUAAUGACUCAUUCGGCGCCUUACGGGAAAC
rnacentral:rRNA from 1 species